rnacentral:rRNA from 1 species
UACGGGGGGGGCAAGCGUUGUUCGGAAUUACUGGGCGUAAAGGGCGCGUAGGCGGCCUUCUAAGUCGAACGUGAAAUCCCCGGGCUCAACCCGGGAACUGCGUCCGAUACUGGAUGGCUUGAAUUCGGGAGAGGGAUGCAGAAUUCCAGGUGUAGCGGUGAAAUGCGUAGAUAUCUGGAGGAAUACCGGUGGCGAAGGCGGCAUCCUGGACCGACAUUGACGCUGAGGAGCGAAAGCCAGGGGAGCAAACGGG